CACGUAGGGCGCAAGCGUUGUCCGGAAUUAUUGGGCGUAAAGAGAACGUAGGCGGUUUCUUAAGUUUGGGCUUAAAAGACUGGGGCUCAACCCCAGGAGUGGCUCGAAAACUGAGAGACUAGAGGAUGGCAGAGGAAAGUGGAAUUCCCAGUGUAGCGGUGAAAUGCGUAGAUAUUGGGGAGGAACACCAGUGGCGGAAAGCGACUUUCUGGGGCCCUUCCUGACGCUGAGGUUCGAAAGCUCGAGGAGCAAACAGG
rnacentral:rRNA from 1 species